UGGUAGAAUUUCUCCAUGUAUCGUGCAAAAUGUUUUGAUUUUACGUUACACACUUGUUGUGAAGCAAAAAGCCUGACUCCUAUUUAAUCGAAUUUUCACCACUUUACAUUGGAUUACCUACAAAAUAGUUAUGAGCAGAAGAGCAAGAUAAGUGACCAAAAAAAUAAUAAGAACCCUGAAUCUGAUGAGGCAAGAAUGCGACCAGACUCCCCUCCGUGAUGCUGUUGCUGCUGUCCCGGGUAGAGAGCGAG